rnacentral:rRNA from 1 species
UACGUAGGUGGCAAGCGUUGUCCGGAUUUAUUGGGUUUAAAGGGUGCGUAGGCGGCUUUCUAAGUCAGUGCUGAAAUAUCCCGGCUUAACCGGGAGGGUGGCAUUGAUACUGGAAGGCUUGAGUAAAGUUGAGGUAGGCGGAAUUGACGGUGUAGCGGUGAAAUGCUUAGAUAUCGUCAAGAACACCGAUAGUGUAGACAGCUUACUAAGCUUUAACUGACGCUGAGGCACGAAAGUGUGGGGAUCAAACAGG